UAUACUCUUUUCCGGGAGGCAAACAUCCCUUUCCGGGAACGGACUACCGCCGGCGGCAGUACGCUCUAUGCACUCACUCGAUCACCAACACCCGACGCGACGCCCUUUCUAAGAUCUGGACCCGAAUUCUCAGGAUUAUUUACGAAAUAUCAACCGGUGAGGAUGUACCGUCACUCGCUCACUCGCCCCUCGUACCUGCGAUUCCGUCCUCGUACGCGAGGAGGAUUAGAAAUUAUCUAGGACGAAAAUCACCUUUGCCAUCGUACAGAAAGAAAUCUGUCAUCGUUCCCGCCGAGAAAGAUACUGUCUGUGUGUAUGUCUGUGUAGUGUGAUUGGUAGAGGAGGACUGCACUGGGAACAGCUUCUCCCCCUCCAACCACCGUAUCAAACCACCAAUAUCAACCCAAAACCUGCCGCUACGUAAACAGAUCCAACAGUUGCGGGGGCAGUCCUCAGUCUUAUCCGUCCAUCCAGCGAGGUUGGGCUCCAGAUGCUAUCGACAGCUAGGUCAAUUCAGCACCCAACGCACGCAGUUACAAACUCAUUCGUACUCAUGUUCAUUCUUAAAUAUAUUCACUCCUAUUUUCGUGACAUUCAUUUAAUUAGGGUGAUGGAGUAAUCGAUAUUCCUCCAUUAUCACACAGCUAUUACACAACUAAUGCAAUUGAGGGUGGAUGGGGAACUCGAUAUUCCGCCAUCGACUCUCUCACUUCACACAUUCACGCCAAUAAAUACAUUCACUCUCAACAUGAGCUAGGUAUACACAACUAAUGUUAUUACUAUAUCAAUAGAGCAACCCCAUUUCCUUCAAGAAUCGGAACAGGGGACCCUGAUACUCGCUGCCGUAUUCAAGCACAAUUCGCAAAUCGGGUGGCAUUCCUGCGCGUUGAAUGUAUGGAAUCAAGGAAUUACACCAUUCAGUUAGGUGGGACACAUCGAGCAAACUUUCUCUACAUGCCGUACACAUGCGCGGGCUUUGGCCCAAAAUCUUAGCAUCAGAGGGCUGGAGGUUAGGACGUCCCGGUCUUAGCCGCCGCGUCAGCCUUUUCAUUACUCUCCAGAUUUAUCCAGACCCAGACAACAACCACCGUUUUGCCAAGACGCUCCAACAAAAUCACUACGAGAGGGUCGACGGAACAUCUGUCACGGACCUCAGUAAUUGCGCUUAGGAAGUUGGUGCAGACUAGGUUAGCAGAGCCACCAUCGUCUCGAAUCACUUCAAACGCAUGCCAAAUCGCAUACGGUUCUGCCUAUAAACGCUACAGUGCGGCGGAAGGGACAACGAAGUGGACGCACCUUCGCGAUACACGGCACACCCCACACCUUCUUCAGAUUUACACCCGUCUGCAAAGAGGAGCCAAAAACCAGCGUACCUCCAUCUAAGUAGCUAGUACUCCAAAACGUAGCUAGGUAAGGAGUAGACGGCUUGGCUAACACGGCGAGAUCUUCCCGGACGAGUACGCCUGGGAGGCACAGGGUGGAAUCCGUCGGUUGCCCAGCUCGAUUACCGUUCCAAGUGUCAUACUCGCCCUCCGUAAGACUUCGCAGAAGUCUAUCCCUAGAGGUCAAUAAUAAAUUCAAAAUAACAAUUUAUGGCCAUGGAAAUAGGCGUAAAUUAAUUUUUGGAUUGAUAAUUUCGACGACCUUCUGCGUGAUUGACAUUCCAAGUGCAAGCUCUAACAUCACUUUCAGAGACCGAUUUUCAUGGUUGAUAAUUCGUUUUAAAGAAAUU